rnacentral:rRNA from 1 species
AUUGAACGCUGGCGGCAUGCCUAACACAUGCAAGUCGAGCGGAUGAAGGGGGCUUUCCCCUGUCUUCAGCUGCGGACGGGUGAGUAAUGCCUAGGAAUCUACCUUGUAUUUAGGGAUGACGUCCGUAAACGGGCCCUAAUACCACAUACGUCCUGAUGUUGAACGGGGGGGAUCAUCGGAGCUCACGCUUUCAGCUGAGCCUUGGUCGUAUUAGCUAGUUGGUUUGGUAACGGCCUACCAAGGCGACGAUCCGUAACCGCGCUGAGAGGGUGAUCAGUCACACUGGAACUGAGACACGGUCCAGACUCCUACGGGAGGCAGCAGUAGGGAAUCUUCGACAAUGGGCGAAAGCCUGACGCAGCAACGCCGCGUGAGUGAAGAAGGUCUUCGGAUUGUAAAGCUCUGUUAGUUGGGAGGAAGAAAAGUGAGUUAAUCUAUUGCCGUCUUGACGAUACCAAAAGAAUAAGCCACGGCUAACUUCGUG